UUUGGCAACGUAUAUAGGAUACUAAAAUUGGAAUGAUACAGAGAAGAUUAGCAUGGCCCCUGUACAAGGGUGACAUGCAAAUUUGUGAAGCACUCCAUGUUUCU